CUCUCUGUUUGAGUUCCUCAACCAGAUCAAGUGGGGUUGUGUUCUUUGGGAAUGGACCAUAUACGUUGCUUCCAAAUGUUGAUGCUUCCUCAUCUCUUACCUACACCCCUCUCAUCAUAAACCCUGUUACUGAAAAUGGGUUUUUGGGUGACGCUUCUCCUAAAUACUUCAUAGGAGUUACAUCAAUCAAGAUCAAUGACAAACGUGUGCCAAUCAACGAAUCCUUGCUGUCCAUCGAUGCUGAAGGUUAUGGUGGGACAACUAUUAGUACUGCCGAUCCUUACACCGUCUUGGAAACUUCAAUCUACAGUGCUGUUGUCGCUGCAUUUG
rnacentral:lncRNA from 1 species